rnacentral:tRNA from 1 species
GCGCCCGUAGCUCAGCCCGGAUAGAGCGCAACCCUCCGAAGGUUGAGGCCAGGCGUUCGAAUCGCCUCGGGCGCGCCA